CCAAUAAUUUGUAUAGCAAAUAAUCACAUUUUACAGCUACAACAUAAAUAUUUCAUUAUAAAAUUACUGCUACUGCUUUUUUUUGCGAUGAAUGAUUAUUAUUUCUUAUUUAUAAAGUGCUACCUCAUUCCGCAACAUUGUACAGUUGGUAAAGAAGAUAUAACAAUUAAAACAUACAGUACCAGUAUAAAAGGAACAGAUUAUUUAUAAUGAGUACUUACAAAGUACCAUUAUGUACUGCAAUGCUGUACAAUGGGUGAAUAUCUCUACACUUUGGUACAAAAGGACUGGAAAGGUUGCCUGUGAGUUAUCACUUUAUAGGAGAUAAUGUGGAAUGAGACAAAAGGUAGAGAUAGAGAUUACGUUCGGGCAAUAGAUAGCUAGAAACUGUCAGUGAACCCUCAUGGUGGACUGGCUGCAGUAGGAUUUCACAAAUUAAAUACACCUGUCUCUACACUGCAGGAUACAUGGAAUGGUGUAAAGAAGUGGGUCCAAUCCAACAGACGCCUCAAGGCACACCAACAUUCCAGGAUUUAAACAUUUUCCAGUUCUGUUCCAGUGGGAAUAUUGACAAAAUCUGGUCUGUUCAACAUACACCCUAUUCACAAACCUUAAAAAAAUGGUAUGAAUUUCCGUAUUACAUAUCUUCCACUGCUAAACUAUAAGUGCCAGAGGAGUACUAAUUGUCUCCUUCAGGGACUCUGCCUCAUCUAACACUUACUUUGAAAAUGCAGAUAGAUAUACACAUAGCGCAUAACGAAUAUAUAUCUUCAUAAAAUGGCUUACAACUCCCCCUUCCACCCCAAUAAUCU